rnacentral:rRNA from 1 species
GAAAGAUGGCUUUGGCUAUCACUCUGGGAUGGACCUGCGGUGCAUUAGCUAGUUGGUAAGGUAACGGCUUACCAAGGCGAUGAUGCAUAGCCGAGUUGAGAGACUGAUCGGCCACAAUGGAACUGAGACACGGUCCAUACUCCUACGGGAGGCAGCAGUAGGGAAUCUUCCACAAUGGGCGCAAGCCUGAUGGAGCAACACCGCGUGAGUGAAGAAGGGUUUCGGCUCGUAAAGCUCUGUUGUUGGAGAAGAACGUGCGUGAGAGUAACUGUUCACGCAGUGACGGUAUCCAACCAGAAAGUCACGGCUAACUACGUGCCAGCAGCCGCGGUAAUACGUAGGUGGCAAGCGUUAUCCGGAUUUAUUGGGCGUAAAGCGAGCGCAGGCGGUUGCUUAGGUCUGAUGUGAAAGCCUUCGGCUUAACCGAAGAAGUGCAUCGGAAACCGGGCGACUUGAGUGCAGAAGAGGACAGUGGAACUCCAUGUGUAGCGGUGGAAUGCGUAGAUAUAUGGAAGAACACCAGUGGCGAAGGCGGCUGUCUGGUCUGCAACUGACGCUGAGGCUCGAAAGCAUGGGUAGCGAACAGGAUUAGAUACCCUGGUAGUCCAUGCCGUAA